CCUACGGGAGGCAGCAGUGAGGAAUAUUGGUCAAUGGCCGGAAGGCUGAACCAGCCAAGCCGCGUGAAGGACGAAGGUGCCAAGCAUUGUAAACUUCUUUUGUCAAGGGACAAAAUCAGGCUCGCGUGCCUGACCGAGUGUACUUGAAGAAAAAGCAUCGGCUAACUCCGUGCCAGCAGCCGCGGUAAUUCGGAGGAUGCGAGCGUUAUCCGGAUUUAUUGGGUUUAAAGGGUGCGUGGGGGGGCUGUUAAGUCAGCCGUUAAAGCCCGGGGCUCAACCCCGGCGGAGCGGUUGAACUGGGCAGUCGUGAGAUGAGGAGAGGUAGGCGGAAUGCGCAGUGUAGCGGUGAAAUGCUUAGAUAUUGCGCAGAACUCCGAGUGCGAAGGCAGCAUACCGGCGGCGAUCUGACGCUGAGGCACGAAAGCGUGGGUAUCGAACAGGAUUAGAUACCCCUGUAGUC
rnacentral:rRNA from 1 species